AUGACGCGAGGGCUCAGCCGGGAAGCGGAGGCGCGAGGCAAGCCGCAACCACAGGGGCGCCGGGCGGAGCCGCACGGAAGCCGGCCAGAGGUGAAGGGCAGUGAGGCGGCCAGCGGCUCUUCUCGACUACAGCUGGGGCGAGCGCCCGUGGUGGCUCAGGCACGGCAGAGGCACGGCCAGCUCCGGGGAUACCCAUAUGCAGUAUAUGCAGUCAACGGUGGACUGAUCUCCUGGCAUAGUCCUUCCUUUCCCUGGUUCUCACUUUCCUUUCUUGUUUUAUUCAGAUCUCAUCUAGUCUGGCACGUCUUUUGUGAGGACAUGGUGCAUCUUGCUUGA
rnacentral:rRNA from 1 species